AAAAAAAAAAAAAAAAAACCUCUCCCCCCCCCUCAAAAAAAGAAAGAAAAUGGUAUGUUCUGCUCAAACACAAUAUCAGUGCUCAGAAACUCAUCCCUUUCCUGCUCACUUUUGUCUGCCCUCCUGUGUCCACACAAGAGCCCACACAGGUGCUCACACAGAUGCACCCACCUACAAGAUUAACCGUAUCCACAGUGGUUGGGUUCAAGAGUUACAACUGAUUCUGCUCUACUUGCAUCAGCACUCCUGGACCAUGCCCAAGUAACACAGCCAGGGUCUGGGCCAUAGAGCCAAAGUCCAAAUGUGCAAUAGAAUAAGUCAAAAGGAAAAACAGGGAAGAGGUGUCCUAAACCCGGCCUAAGCAGAGAGGGCCUGGGCCCUAGUGGCUGGGAAGGUACUCCUUCAGUUUCUGUCAGGAUGUGGGUGGGUAGGAGGCAGCUUCCCCCAGGGGACUUAGGUAAGGGCUAUGAACUGGACAGAAGCACAACUGUCCACGGAGGGGCUCUCAGGGUGAGAUCGUGGAUCCCCUUCAUAAUAGGGAAGGACCUAGAGAGUCAGGUAGGUGGAGGAGUGGGAAAGGACAGUAGACAUGGUUUCAUGCAAUGGGCAUCCCCCCCCCCCACUGCCCACACUUGGCACAUCACUGACUACCAAGGACGAGAAGAAGAGGAGAGGGACAGAGAGCAGGAGAGGUUUCCUGAAGACACCAGAGCCGCAAAUACAACUCUGGACCAUUGCAGCUGUCAGCCAGAACAGACAGGAGUACAGAUUCCAGCUCUGCCUUAGGUGUGGACCUUAUUAACAGGAGCUGAGAGAAGUCUUGGGGAAGUUUGUCCAUCCAGCUUUUACAGGCCCUCGACUCAACCCAGAAGGCCAUUCACCACCAUGUUCGAGAUGCUUUGCCUGUCCCCACCUCGGAUCUGUCCAUCCAUUCCAACCAGGAGACUCAAUGUGAGUCAAGAAAUUUACAACCCAGGGACUGACUCCAACCUGGAAGGGACCCUACACUGUCAUCCUCAUCAUUUUGACCACUGUCAAGGUCAAUGCCAUCCCGAUCAGCUGCACCACUCUCAAAUAAAGGCAGAGAAAUCAA